rnacentral:rRNA from 1 species
GGAUAGAUCUUGUUGGUGUGUUAAGUUAAAUAGGUUUAAUAUUUGAAGAAGCAAUGAAGUUAUAAAUUUAGUAUAUGUUAUAGAAAAAUUAGAGUUUAACUAAAGUGUAGUAGUAUUGUAAAAGAAAGAGAUGGUUGUUUUGGAGAAAAGAAAUUAUAGAAUAUUGUACCUUUUGUAUCAGGGAUAGUCAAAAUUGGAAGUUUAUUUGUUUUAAUCUCGAAGCAGAAAGAUCUAGGGUUUAAGGCAUGGUUAUGUGGUAAAAUAACAUGGAAUUUUACUUUAGUAAUGAUAUUUUAGUCGAGUUUUGUAUAUCUAGUUCUCUUUGAGAGGAAUUUAAUUUCGUUUUUAUGUUUUGAGAACAUAAGAUUAAAGAUUAAGAGGGAUAAGCUUCUUAGUGUUGCUAUAAAAGAAGAGAGUUUUGGUUUUAAAUUAGGCUUAAGAGCAGCCAGAUUUAUAAAGCGUUCUAGUUAAUUUAUUGUUAAGGUGAAUUUAUAUAGUUUUUAGUGAGUUAGAAGAGAGUAGGUUGAAUUUAGGAAAAUUUAGUUAAAAUGAUUUUAUUAGUAUAUUUGUUUGUUAAAGGGUUACAGUGAAAUACCUGUAGAGUAUUAAUUAGUUAAGGUGUAGAGAAGGAACUCGGCAAGUAUUAUUUUUGCCUGUUUAUCAAAAACAUGUCUGUAUGUAUUAAAUAUAGAGUCUGGCCUGCCCACUGAAAGUUUUAAAGGGCCGCGGUAAUUUGACCGUGCGAAGGUAGCAUAAUCAAUAGUCUCUUAAUUGGAGGCUGGAAUGAAUGGUUGCACAAAAAAUAAUCUGUCUUAUCUGUAGGGGUAGAAUUUUACUUUUGAGUGAAAAGGCUCAAAUAUAUUAAGGGGACGAUAAGACCCUAUAAAACUUUAUAUAAUAAGGCUAAUUUUUGAAUUUUGGUAUUAAAGUGAAUUGGUCUUUAUUUAUUAUGUUGGGGCGACAAGAAUAUAAAUAAGUAACUGUUUGUAAAUUAAAAUAAAUAUGUUUAGAAGUGUGAUCCUUUUUUAGGGAUUAGAAGAAAAAGUUACUUUAGGGAUAACAGCGUAAUUUUUUCUGAGAGUUCUUAUCGACGAAAGUAGUUGCGACCUCGAUGUUGAAUUAAGAUUUCCCUGAGGUGUAGAAGUUUCAGUGGUGGGUCUGUUCGACCCUUAAAGUCUUACAUGAUUUGAGUUCAAACCGGUGUGAGCCAGGUUGGUUUCUAUCUUUUAAUUUUUUUUGGGGCUAUUUUAGUACGAAAGGACCAGGUAGUUGAAAUAGUUUUUAAGGGAAGAAGAACAAUAAUUU